rnacentral:rRNA from 1 species
GGACGAACGCUGGCGGCGUGCUUAACACAUGCAAGUCGAACGAGGAUUAGCGGAUUGAGAGUUCGACAGGAUUGAAGCUAAUUCGAGUGGCGGACGGGUGAGUAACGCGUGAGCAAUCUGUCCCAGACAGGGGGAUAACACUUGGAAACAGGUGCUAAUACCGCAUAAGACCACAGCAUCGCAUGGUGCAGGGGUAAAAAGGAGGAAUCCGGUUUGGGGUGAGUUCGCGUCCGAUUAGAUAGUUGGUGAGGUAACGGCCCACCAAGUCGACGAUCGGUAGCCGACCUGAGAGGGUGAUCGGCCACAUUGGAACUGAGAGACGGUCCAAACUCCUACGGGAGGCAGCAGUGGGGAAUAUUGGGCAAUGGGCGAAAGCCCUGACCCAGCAACGCCGCGUGAGUGAUGAAGGCCUUCGGGUUGUAAAGCUCUGUUAUAGGGGACGAAGGAAGUGACGGUACCCUAUAAGGAAGCCCCGGCUAACUACGUGCCAGCCGCCGC